rnacentral:rRNA from 1 species
AGCUUGCUCUCUGGGUGACGAGCGGCGGACGGGUGAGUAAUGUCUGGGAAACUGCCUGAUGGAGGGGGAUAACUACUGGAAACGGUAGCUAAUACCGCAUGACGUCUUCGGACCAAAGUGGGGGACCUUCGGGCCUCACGCCAUCAGAUGUGCCCAGAUGGGAUUAGCUAGUAGGUGGGGUAAUGGCUCACCUAGGCGACGAUCUCUAGCUGGUCUGAGAGGAUGACCAGCCACACUGGAACUGAGACACGGUCCAGACUCC